GCCGGGGUGGGGUAGCUUGGUUAUCCUGUGGGCCUGUGGAGCCCGUGACCCGGGUUCAAAUCUCGGUCCCGGCC
rnacentral:tRNA from 1 species